rnacentral:rRNA from 1 species
GGCGGAGGAUGCAAGUGUUAUCCGGAAUCACUGGGCGUAAAGCGUCUGUAGGUGGUUUAAUAAGUCAACUGUUAAAUCUUGAGGCUCAACCUCAAAAUCGCAGUCGAAACUAUUAGGCUAGAGUAUAGUAGGGGUAAAGGGAAUUUCCAGUGGAGCGGUGAAAUGCGUAGAGAUUGGAAAGAACACCGAUGGCGAAGGCACUUUACUGGGCUAUUACUAACACUCAGAGACGGAAAGCUAGGGUAGCAAAUGGG